UACGAAGGGGGCUAGCGUUGCUCGGAAUCACUGGGCGUAAAGCGCACGUAGGCGGCUUCUUAAGUCGGUGGUGAAAUCCUGGAGCUCAACUCCAGAACUGCCUUCGAUACUGGGAAGCUCGAGUCCGGGAGAGGUGAGUGGAACUGCGAGUGUAGAGGUGAAAUUCGUAGAUAUUCGCAAGAACACCAGUGGCGAAGGCGGCUCACUGGCCCGGUACUGACGCUGAGGCACGAAAGCGUGGGGAGCAAACAGG
rnacentral:rRNA from 1 species